AGCCUAUGAUGAAUUGCUUUGACUUCUGACACCUCGUAUGAAAGCUGCACGUGCAGUCUGAUUAUUUUUGCAAGACUGAGGCUU
ensembl:snoRNA